CAGAAUGUUGCUAAAGAGACUGAAAAACAUUGUUCAGCAUUCUUUUAAGGAAAAAAGUUACCUAUAUGGAUGUGAGCCUUGCUGUGGUGCUGACAUCAGGACCAGAGGACAGAUUCUGUUUUCCCAUUAAGUCAUAGCACAAAGUUUUCUUUUGUCUUCCCAAGUCUGUCUUAUGGAGCUGACAGGUUUGGGCUGUCAGAAAAUAGGCUACAGUUGGACAGUCUUCUAGACUUCUUGCUCCACGGUGCAAAACCUCAAACCCCAGGACAGAUUACUGAAGUUUUGCCUGCACAGAAGCCUUCAAAGGAGACACUGGAAACUACCUUGUGCUUCCUGAGAAGCUGAAAUUGAUUCUCAGUCUACUGAAAUUGAUGGCUGUUGUUUGUUUAAUUAAGCUAUUUUGCUUUCAUAAUUUGUUUUGCAAAGGAACUUCUGCUUCACUUCGCAAUUCCAAACAACAUCAUCAGUAAUCUCAUGGGACUCAUACUAGGAGUGAGAUUAUUGCCUUUGUAAAAUCUCUGUGCUCUUUUGACUCCUAUAUGUGUGUGUGUAUGUAUAUAUAUGUAGAGAGAGAAAGUGCCAAAAACAAGUCAACUUCAUGGAUGAUGAUUGUUUUAAUGUAGAUAUGAGACUGCUUGUCAUCAUCUGUGUCAUCAGCUGUGGAAAAGCUCAUCUGAUGGUAGAAGGUAAUUUGUCUAGGUCAAAUGAGCAAGAAGAGAACAGAACAAAUUAGACCUUGCUCAACAUUGCAGGGGUAAUCCCAUUUGUAGCACUAAAAACUGUACUGAAUAUGUGUUUAUUUAGGGUAAUCCAGUAGAACUGUUAUAACACUGUAAAUAGUGAUGUAAUGGAAGUGAGGAAUUUUUCUAAAGUAGCAGAAGUUCUGUAUCAGUCUACUAUAACAAAAAAAUAAAAAUAAUUUAAACUAAUGGAUUUUACAGACAAAUCUUCUGAAGUAGUGAGAAAACAUCUGUGUCUGUUCUACAAUCAUGUCCUUCCUGGGAGGAAAAGAUGAGAAAUAUCAGCAUAUGAAAUAAAGUU
rnacentral:lncRNA from 7 species